rnacentral:rRNA from 1 species
GAGUUUGAUCCUGGCUCAGGACGAACGCUGGCGGCAUGCCUAACACAUGCAAGUCGAGCGAGUUGAUCCCUUCGGGGUGAAGCUAGCGGCGGACGGGUGAGUAACACGUGGGCAACCUGCCUCAUAGAGGGGAAUAGCCUCCCGAAAGGGAGAUUAAUACCGCAUAAGAUUGUAGCUUCGCAUGAAGUAGCAAUUAAAGGAGCAAUCCGCUAUGAGAUGGGCCCGCGGCGCAUUAGCUAGUUGGUGAGGUAACGGCUCACCAAGGCGACGAUGCGUAGCCGACCUGAGAGGGUGAUCGGCCACAUUGGGACUGAGACACGGCCCAGACUCCUACGGGAGGCAGCAGUGGGGAAUAUUGCACAAUGGGGGAAACCCUGAUGCAGCAAUGCCGCGUGAGUGAUGACGGCCUUCGGGUUGUAAAGCUCUGUCUUCAGGGACGAUAAUGACGGUACCUGAGGAGGAAGCCACGGCUAACUACGUGCCAGCAGCCGCGGUAAUACGUAGGUGGCAAGCGUUGUCCGGAUUUACUGGGCGUAAAGGGAGCGUAGGCGGAUUUUUAAGUGAGAUGUGAAAUACCCGGGCUUAACUUGGGUGCUGCAUUUCAAACUGGAAGUCUAGAGUGCAGGAGAGGAGAAGGGAAUUCCUAGUGUAGCGGUGAAAUGCGUAGA